AGCUCUAAUCUUUAGUGUAUCCUAAGCUUUACGUCAUAGACAAUAAGAAAUUGACAGAUGGAUAAUUUUCCGUUGCAGCGCCAAAUUUAAAAGACAUUACAUUAUUUUGGUAAAUGGUUGAAAUUUUAAGUUUAUUUUAUUAAAAUCAAGAGUAAUGGAUAUUUUGUUCGUAGACAAUGGCAGACAGGAUGAGAUCGAGACAUUUUAUGAAGCAAGUCAACGCCACAGAGAUUACUACAGGGGCUAUCCCAAGGCCUACCAUCCUUUGCUCUACUUUAGGGAGCCCGUUAUUAUUGGACAGUGCCCUCCAGACAUGACACCAGUGUACCUUGACUUCCCUGCGUACAAUGUGAAGUACAAGCAGCCGUUGGUGCUUCCGAGCUCCACUGGCCGUACAAGCGGCUUGCCUGCUCUCCCUGACCGCACACUUGCGGGCCGCUUUAACAAGGCUGCGUGCAAACUCUUUGUAAGGUAAUGGACCUUAUUAAUUGGAUAAAGAACUCAUAUUAUGUAC